rnacentral:rRNA from 1 species
GUGCCAGCCGCCGCGGUAAUACGUAGGGGGCAAGCGUUGUCCGGAAUCACUGGGCGUAAAGCGCAUGUAGGCGGGAUAUUAAGUCAGGUGUGAAAACUACAGGCUCAACCUGUAGAUUGCAUUUGAAACUGGUAUUCUUGAGUAUUGGAGAGGAAAGUGGAAUUCCUAGUGUAGCGGUGAAAUGCGUAGAUAUUAGGAGGAACACCAGUGGCGAAGGCGACUUUCUGGCCAAAAACUGACGCUGAGAUGCGAAAGCGUGGGGAGCAAACAGGAUUAGAAACCCCCGUAGUCC